AAUGUGGAGGGGAAAAACCGGAGGACCCGAAGACAAAAAUCCACGCGACCACGGGGAGAGAGGCACGCAGGCUCCAAAUAUACAGCAGCAGGCGUCAUGGUCGGAAUCGACCCCACGACCCCAUGCAUACCAGGCGAGGUAGUUAACAUCUACAAGCCACCGGGAUACACUGCUCGCGACGUCAUGGAAUGCACUCGCAACGUGGCAUGCAGGUGCCACUUCUCUAUCUGCAAACUGGCGCCCGCCUUCUGCUGUCAUGCGCUUCAAGUGGAUCAUUUUACAACAUUCACCAGAUGCCACCAAGGUCACCAGCGCACUUGUGGGCUUGCAAUCUCGAGGUCGCCCGCUUGAUUCCGCCUCUCCAGCGCGGCGGUUGAAAUGGGACACGAAAGCCGAGUGACCGAAGGGCAAGCAGCAGCAGUACACACUCCAGAGCACGGUCUUUCCAGAGCACCCUUGCAGAGUUCGUUAAUGUCCCAAGUGUGUCAUAUCGUCAGGUAGGUGUUCAUCUAAAAGUCGGUAUAAAAAAACCAUUCCGAUAAAAAAAUGUUUCCUUUGCACACUUGCUGAGCAAAGGGCAAAUGUGUAAAGUGGCCAUUAACAUACAGCACUUUGGCCUAGUGCAGGGGCGGGAAACCUGCGGCUCCAGAACCCACAUGCGGCUUUAAAGAUUGCUUCGUGAAGUUGUCUCAUUCACAUGCAUUGCGGCUAUUGAAAUAUUGAGGUUUUUUUACGGAAUUCGAAAAUGAAUUUCUCUUAUUUUAGUUGGCGACCACUAUCCUAACGUGUUUUUAAAUAGUUUGCAUUUAAAAAUGGGUUUUGGAACAAAAAAAGAGCCAAGCUUUGUCGAUGCCUCCCACACAAAAAUCACUGGACGGAUGAGACUUGUCACGCUCAAAGACGUUCAAGGCUUGAGGCCCAAACACGAGUAACACACCAACAGGUCACCUGCAGAUCGCCCUUCGCGUUAAGUCAUGCCGAUGACCACAGAUGGGACUCCUCCCAGCGAUAGAUCAGCUGUGCGUGCUGAAUUCCAUCACUUUGUAUAGUAAUGCAGUGAAUAUGCUAGUGACCAUGCCAGAUGGCUCACCCUUUAUUUGGAACUGGGAGGCCCCAAGUGAACGUCAGUUUGUUGGUACAGUGCAGGUGUGAUACAAGAGCUCGAGCAUAACCAAGAACUGGUGCAAGUAUAUUUGCAGUGCACCACUCGGUCACUCCGUGGAUACAAACCCAUCGUACAUUCAGUACAAGUAAUGUAGACACCUUUAUUUUAGUCACAGUAAGUAUUCUCUUAUGCUACAUGAGCUGCAUACGGUAUUUGUGGGCCACAAUAAACGUAAACUUCCAAAUGUU